rnacentral:rRNA from 1 species
CAGUCGCCGCGGUAAUACGAAGGGGGCUAGCGUUGUUCGGAUUUACUGGGCGUAAAGGGAGCGUAGGCGGAUCGUUAAGUUGGGGGUGAAAGCCCCCGGCUCAACCGGGGAGGGUCAUUGGAAACUGGGAAACUUGAGUGCAGAAGAGGAGAGUGGAAUUCCACGUGUAGCGGUGAAAUGCGUAGAGAUGUGGAGGAACACCAGUGGCGAAGGCGACUCUCUGGUCUGUAACUGACGCUGAGGAGCGAAAGCGUGGGGAGCGAACAGGAUUAGAUACCCCAGUAGUCCCUGUCUCUUAUAA